rnacentral:rRNA from 1 species
UCAGAUCGGCUCAGAGGAUACCGAUUGCGAAGGCGAUCUACUGGAACAUUAUUGACGCUCAGAUGCGAAAGCGUGGGGAGCAAACAGGAUUAGAUACCCUGGUAGUCCACGCCCUAAACGAUGCACACUAGUUGUUGCCUUGCUAGACAAGGCAGUAAUGCAGUUAACACAGUAAGUGUGCCGCCUGGGGAGUACGGUCGCAAGAUUAAAACUCAAAGGAAUAGACGGGGACCCGCACAAGCGGUGGAGCAUGUGGUUUAAUUCGACGAUACGCGAAGAACCUUACCUGGCCUUGACAUAGAAAGAACUUACUAGAGAUAGUUUGGUGCUAGCUUGCUAGAACUUUCAUACAGGUGCUGCACGGCUGUCGUCAGCUCGUGUCGUGAGAUGUUGGGUUAAGUCCCGCAACGAGCGCAACCCUCGUGUUUAGUUACUAACAGUUCGGCUGAGGACUCUAGACAGACUGCCUACGCAAGUAGGAGGAAGGUGAGGACGACGUCAAGUCAUCAUGGCCCUUACGGCCAGGGCUACACACGUGCUACAAUGGGGCAUACAAAGAGCCGCAAUACGGUGACGUGGAGCAAAUCUCAUAAAAUGCCUCCCAGUUCGGAUUGUAGUCUGCAACUCGACUACAUGAAGUUGGAAUCGCUAGUAAUCGUAGAUCAGCUAUGCUACGGUGAAUACGUUCCCGGGUCUUGUACUCACCGCCCGUCACACCAUGGGAGUUGAUUUCAUUCGAAGCGGGGAUGCUAAAAUAGCUACCUUCCACAGUGGAAUUAGCGACUAGGGUGAAGUCGUAACAAGGUAACCGUAGGAGAACCUGCGGUUG